rnacentral:rRNA from 1 species
UACGUAGGGGGCAAGCGUUGUCCGGAAUCAUUGGGCGUAAAGCGCGUGUAGGCGGCCAGAAAAGUCCGCUGUGAAAACUCGAGGCUCAACUUCGAGCUGUCGGUGGAAACUUUCUGGCUAGAGUCCGGAAGAGGAGAAUGGAAUUCCUGGUGUAGCGGUGAAAUGCGCAGAUAUCAGGAGGAACACCGGUGGCGAAGGCGGGUCUCUGGGCCGGUACUGACGCUGAGACGCGAAAGCGUGGGGAGCGAACAGG